rnacentral:rRNA from 1 species
AGAAUCAACGCUGGCGGCGUGCCUAACACAUGCAAGUCGCACGAGAAAGGGGAGCAAUCCCCGAGUAAAGUGGCGCACGGGUGAGUAACACGUGAAUUAUCUACCUCCGAGUGGGGAAUAACUGAGAGAAAUCUUGGCUAAUACCGCAUAACACUUACGAGUCAAAGCAGCAAUGCGCUUGGAGAGGAGUUCGCGGCCGAUUAGCUAGUUGGCGGGGUAAUGGCCCACCAAGGCGAUGAUCGGUAUCCGGCCUGAGAGGGCGCACGGACACACUGGAACUGAAACACGGUCCAGACUCCUACGGGAGGCAGCAGUGGGGAAUUUUGCGCAAUGGGGGAAACCCUGACGCAGCAACGCCGCGUGGAGGAUGAAGCCCCUUGGGGUGUAAACUCCUUUCGAUCGGGAAGAUAAUGACGGUACCGAUAGAAGAAGCCCCGGCUAACUUCGUGCCAGCAGCCGC